GUCCCUUACUGACGCUAAAGCUCGAAGGUGCGGGUAUCGAACAGGAUUAGAUACCCUGGUAGUCCGCACGGUAAACGAUGGAUGCCCGCUGUUUGCGAUAUAUUGUAAGCGGCCAAGCGAAAGCGUUAAGCAUCCCACCUGGGGAGUACGCCGGCAACGGUGAAACUCAAAGGAAUUGACGGGGGCCCGCACAAGCGGAGGAACAUGUGGUUUAAUUCGAUGAUACGCGAGGAACCUUACCCGGGCUUGAACUGCAGGAGAACGAUCCAGAGAUGGUGAGGCCCUUCGGGGCUCCUGUGGAGGUGCUGCAUGGUUGUCGUCAGCUCGUGCCGUGAGGUGUCGGCUUAAGUGCCAUAACGAGCGCAACCCCUUUCGCCAGUUGCCAUCAGGUGAUGCUGGGCACUCCGGCGACACUGCCACCGUAAGGUGUGAGGAAGGUGGGGAUGACGUCAAAUCAGCACGGCCCUUACGUCCGGGGCUACACACGUGUUACAAUGGGUGGUACAGAGAGCAGGGUGCACGCAAGUUCACCCGAAUCAAGAAAGCCAUCCUCAGUUCGGAUUGGGGUCUGCAACCCGACCCCAUGAAGCUGGAUUCGCUA
rnacentral:rRNA from 1 species